rnacentral:rRNA from 1 species
CCGGCGCACGGGUGAGUAACACGUAUCCAACCUGCCGUCUACUCUUGGACAGCCUUCUGAAAGGAAGAUUAAUACAAGAUGGCAUCAUGAGUUCACAUGUUCACAUGAUUAAAGGUAUUCCGGUAGACGAUGGGGAUGCGUUCCAUUAGAUAGUAGGCGGGGUAACGGCCCACCUAGUCUUCGAUGGAUAGGGGUUCUGAGAGGAAGGUCCCCCACAUUGGAACUGAAACACGGUCCAA